ACUUAGAUUAGUACCCUGCUUGGGAGAAAAUGUUACUGCCCCUUUAAGAAGGGGCUGCAGAACUCACUCCCAGCUGAGGCUCAGACAAGGGCAGAUGAAACAUGGGAGGAGUAGAAGUACUGGGAGGUUUGUCGUGGAGUGGUGCUGUUUGGGGGUGAUUGAUGUUUUCUGCCCUGUAGACCUCCAAGGAGAAGCUUGCAGCCUCUCGCCACCAGAUACUUCAAAUAAAAACCCCGAACAAUUAAGGUAUGCCUAUUGGAGAGAGCAAACAGCAGGGUGCCAGAAGAGAGAAUGAGUGGAGGAUCAUUAAAAAGGAACAGACUAUGUGAAGGCUUUUCCACCACUCUGUGCUCUUCAGUUAACCUCUGCCUGUCCACUACACUCUGAUGGAGGCUGGCUCUUAGCAGAGAAAUAAAAUGUGAAGAGCAUAAUUUUCA